rnacentral:rRNA from 1 species
AACGCCCUACGGGAGCAGCAGUGGGGAAUAUUGCGCAAUGGACGAAAGUCUGACGCAGCGACGCCGCGUGAGGGAUGAAGGUUUUCGGAUCGUAAACCUCUGUCAGGAGGGAAGAAAGCGCAUGGCGCCAAUCAGCCAUGCGUUGACGGUACCUCCAAAGGAAGCGCCGGCUAACUCCGUGCCAGCAGCCGCGGUAAUACGGAGGGCGCGAGCGUUAAUCGGAAUCACUGGGCGUAAAGCGCGCGUAGGCUGUUGUGUAAGUUGGGGGUGAAAUCCCACGGCUCAACCGUGGAACAGCCCUUGAU